rnacentral:misc_RNA from 1 species
UUAAGAUCAGUCAAAGACAAAGUAACACCAGAGUUAAUUUUCACGGUAAACAGACAUCUGGGAAGGAUUCUUUGUUUUUAUUUAGAUCGGAGCUGAUUGUAAAGCGAUCGUUAUAGCCAUCGGCCACCGACUGAAGACAUGUCUUUACUAGGCUCUUAUCCGUGUUCAAAUAUUUCGGCUCCUACAAGCCUCAGCAUCACCUCGGCAGCAAUNUGCUCUGUUUUGACAGUCACAGCCGUAGUAGGGAACAUUCUCGUUCUUCUUGCUGUUGUCAUUGACCCCAACCGCAAUCUUCGCUCGCCGUUCAACUUCCUUGUGGCNAAUUUAGCUGCUGCAGAUCUGAUUGUAGGNUGCUUCGCUCUUCCAAUGUCGGUAGAGUUCUACGUUCGUGAGGCUUUAGAAGGCACAAGCGUCAAACCCUGGGAUCACGCCAGACGUGUAGGUUAUUUUAUAUCUAGCACAGCAUCGCUAUUGAGNCUAGCUGCUUUGACUGUUGAUCGAUUUGUCGCCAUAACCUAUCCAAUGAAAUAUCGAGCCAAGCUUAGUCCAAAACGAACACUCUUUGUCUCAGUUUCACUAUGGACUGUGUCUAUCGCCUUUCCGUUUUUGUACUUCGAAGUUGGAUAUUUGAAAUACCAAUUCGUAUUCGCCAACACUGCUGUCAUAGCAACUUUUAUCGUUUUAUGUCUGACCUACGCUAAAGUUUUCAAAAGCUUCAAGUCGCAAGUGCGAAGCUGGGACACUCUUCAUACCAGCAGUGAAGAAAAUCAAAUCAAAAGGAGAACAAUUCUAUGGGANAAGAAGGUUACAAAAACAUUCCUGAUCAUGUUGACGCUUUUUAUCUCCUGUUUCCUGCCUUCGCUGAUUCUCAUAUAUAUCAUCAGUUUUUGUGGGAACUGUAACUGUAUCUUUAUUCAUUGGGCUAGGGAUAUUAACUACUACUUAACGAUGGCAAAUUCGACCAUGAAUCCCUUCGUUUUUGCCUGGCGACUCAAAACAUACAGGAGUGCUUUCAUGAAGAUUUUAACGUGUGGGGAAAUUGGAAAACGUAUGGUAUCUGUCACGGACAGUUUCAUGUCAUGGAAAGGACAGUUCAAUGUAUCAAUGACAUCUUUAGGACCUCCAUCUUCUAAUUCUUUACCAGGUGCAAGCUAAUCAUGAUCAGGAAGAUAAGUCGAAGGACUGCGAGGAACCCCAAUGAAACAGGCUGACCCGGAAGCAACCCUAGCUAGCCUCGUGUCAUGAUCGAUGGACGGAAAUAUUCUUUGACACCAACCAUCAAAACANGGCUAAAAACAUCGAAUACAAGUUUUGAUUACGAAUAUAAACUCGAAAGCGAAAGGAUACGGACCUUGAGAUUAUAUUACCCAGUCUCUGAAAUCCAAGAGCAAAGAGUUAGGAGAGACAGACAGUAAAGAAAAAAGCUGCCAACUCUUUCUGGCGUUUCCUNAUAGAAGCAGGAUCAAUCUCUUCAAUAGAAAACAAUUUGUUCAAAACUGUCUAAAAGGAAAGAGGAAAAUAGCAAGAUGAAGUUGUGAUGAAGAGCAAGAUAUUUUGUAUCAUCCUCAGCAACACUGCAAGAGCCUAGAAGUUUAUUCAACUGGGAUAAACCAGCUUUCAAGAUAGUGAUUUUUUUAACUUUUACUUAAAUUCUGGACUCCCAUUUUUUUUCCUUUUUUUUUUCAUUUCCA